AAACAUCUUAUUCCCUUUAUUUAUUUCCUCUCUUCUUUUUCUUAUUACCCUCUCCAAAUUUGGCGUUAAUCUCAGGCUUCACUCUCUCGUUCUUUCUUCAUUAGAUCCCUCUUCCAUAAUCAUCUUUCAGGUAACAUCUCUACGUUUUAUCAUUUAUAAAUUCAAAUUAUAAAAACUUAUCUAAUUAGAGUUUGUGUUUUUUUUUAAAAAAAAAAAAUCAGUUUUCAGAUUAAUUUUCUUGAUUCGAGAUAGUUUUUUUUCAUGAUUCUUAUCUAUAAUUCAGCAAUCAUAUUGUUAAAAUCAAAAUUUUCAUUUUUUUUUGGCUGAAUUUUUUGGGAUACAUUUAUCUUUUUCGGUGAUUUGCAUUUGAUUUGAGGUUAUUCAUCACAUUUUUUUUGUUUUAUUUAUGACCUGAAUUUGUUGUUGUGUUAUGAUCUGAAGAUCAAAUCGUAUUAACUUUGAAUUUUGAAUUUGAAUUUUUUCAUAGAGAGCUUUGAAUUGUGAAUUUAAAUUUUGAUUUCUGAAAAAUUGCUUUCUCAUUCAGAUCCAUUUCAUGAUACGCUGGAUUUUGCAACAAAUCAAUACUUUCAUUCCGUUUUAUAUGAGGACAUUUUAAAGGGAGUUGAGUUUAAGAUGUUAUAUUGAGUUAUAUAUUAUGUCAGUGAUAAUGGAAGAAAAAUAUUAUAAUGAUAGUCGAAGAUUUAGUUUCAUUGAAGAACAUCAUAUCAAAAUUGAAAGUUUAAAUAGCUUAAUGGAUUUGAAGGUGUUCUGCAUUGACAGUUUGAUGAAUUUUUUGAGUGUUAAAGGUUGAUAAUCAUGUCUAAUUGUUAUUGAAAAAAGUAAUAUAAAGUAAGGGUUGAGACACUUUUGAUAAAAGAUAACUUUCUGUAACACAAAAAAAUCAGAUAAUGACUAUCAUGAAAGUGUUUUCCUUUAUACAAGACACACACUAGUUCUGGAAAUUUUAAACAUUCCAAAAUAGACAGUUGUGAUAUAAAUUGAGGAGACGAGAGUACAUACUAUUUCAUUACUUGAUUUAUGACUCAUAUUAUAUAUUUGUUAAUAUAUUUUAUUAUAUCAUUUAGUUCUCUUUUAGCAUAGGGACACCAACAAGGAGAAAUGGGGUUGACAUUCACCAAGCUUUUCAGCCGGCUUUUCGCCAAGAAAGAAAUGCGAAUUCUCAUGGUUGGACUUGAUGCAGCUGGUAAGACCACCAUAUUGUACAAGCUCAAGCUGGGCGAGAUCGUUACUACUAUUCCUACC
rnacentral:lncRNA from 1 species